AUGGUCCGGGGAAAGCUUCCUGUGUUGUUGAACCUGCCCAGUUGUGAGUGCAGCCUCGAACCAAGCAGCCCUACCCUGACCUAAAGUAAAUUCCCAGGAGAAGUUUUUCUUGGGUCUUGAAUUUGCAGCAACAGGUGUGAACAUUCUAGCAGCAGUUUGAUGAUCAUGUAUGAUACUGCAAACAAGA
ensembl:snoRNA small Cajal body-specific RNA 16